rnacentral:rRNA from 1 species
GACGAACGCUGGCGGCGUGCUUAACACAUGCAAGUCGAGCGGUAAGGGCCCUUUCGGGGGUACACGAGCGGCGAACGGGUGAGUAACACGUGGGUGACCUGCCCUCAGCUCUGGGAUAAGCCUGGGAAACUGGGUCGUAAUACCGGAUAUGACUCCAUGACGCAUGUCGUGGGGUGGAAAGCCUUGUGCGGCUGGGGAUGGGCCCGCGGCCUAUCAGCUUGUUGGUGGGGUGAUGGCCUACCAAGGCGACGACGGGUAGCCGGCCCUGAGAGGGCGACCGGCCACACUGGGACUGAGACACGGCCCAGACUCCUACGGGAGGCAGCAGUGGGGAAUCUUGCGCAAUGGGCGAAAGCCUGACGCAGCGACGCCGCGUGAGGGAUGACGGCCUGGUGUAAC